UCGAAGCGCGCAUUGACGCCUACAAACCUAACUGGAUACUUCAAGCACUGCGCAAUGCGUGAGGUAGCCCCUUAGGUUUGUAGGGGUCAGUGCGGGUUUCGCGCUGGCAGCACGCCGCGGCCCCCCCGACGGACGGGUGGUGAACGAUUUCUUGUGGGAGAGCUCCCUGGCGGAAAAACUCAUAUAUCGUGUGAUUUUUUUUUUUUUUUUUUAAUUUUCGACUUUUAAAAUUACAUACUGGUCGUGUGAAGUAUAAUUAGUGAACUCUCAUCACAUUUAAAUUUUUGCGGGCAAAGCAAUCAUCAGCCAACUAGUCACCAGUCACCAGCCAGUUUCUAGGUUAGAACCACUUGUUAUUGUUUUCAAUGGUUUUUAAGUGUUUUCAAGCUUGUUCAAAUGACGAAGUUUGUGUUGAAAAAAGAGAAGAAUUACAUCGUCCUCGAAGAAUAUACUUUUUCUAGCUACGUAAUGUAUUUGUCAAGAUUUUUUUGAAAAUUUGCCCAUUUUAUUUCAAGUUCAAGCUUUCAACCCUUUCUGUGCUUAACUUAAAAGUUAUCAUCACUCGAAAGCUCCUGGAAGGAUACUGAAACUUUAAGUCAUGUGGAAAUAUUUAAUUCUUCAAUAACUUUAACUCCAGUUUCAUGGUGCCAAUUUUAAAAUCAUUAAGUGCAUUAGAAUCACAAAUGCUUCUUCAAGAUGAGCGUUAACCAUCAAGCAAGCGCUGCGGAUGAUCUGAAUGACUCUCCUGUCGUCGAAAAUGGGGGUGAGAAUGCUCUGAGCAGCAACAUGAACGGGUCUGUUUCCCAUGUUGCCACCAAUUGUAAUCAUUUGCAUAAUCUUGAGGAGCAGAACGAACAUGAUCAAAAUAACGCUGAGGACAAAACCGCAGAUUCCAACGAUCCAGAAAACUUUGACGAAGGUGACCAUGUGCCAGAACCAGGGCCAUCACAGUAUAACGAAGAAUUUUCUUAUUCACAUACAUCAUGCUAUUACUGCAAUGGAUACUACGAGCCCUCAUUUGAUGAGCCGGUUUGUGGGACCUGUCACUUAUUCCUGUUUUCCGAUGAGGUGAGCCGACCGCACACAACUCUGCCAAUUAACAGUGAAAAACUGAUGAUGGGGACUCUGGAAAUGAUGAGCCAACUGACGGAUAUUAUGAGCGAAGAUCGUCCAAUCAGUCUGGUUAUCCAGUACCGGAACAGCCUCCAAAUUUAG
rnacentral:lncRNA from 1 species